GCCGUUACGAUCCCGAUAAGUCAUAGUACAGCACAUAGUACAGCACGUAGUCCACCAGAAUCGCAUAUCGUACACGCACUAUUCGAUCCGAAUGUCCACUCCGAGUCCGAAGUUAUUCGGUACCGCUAUGCUCCCGACUAGAGGCCGCACACGCUCUUGUCGACCUGCGUCGACGUCGCCUGCACGACGCCGAGCUGGCCCGCCUGGCCGUGCGUGAGCGCGUUCAUCGCGGUCUCCGCGAUGUUGAAGCCGGACCCGGCGUGAUCGAUCGCGAGCACGUUGAUCUUCGUGCCGUUGUACGCCAGCUCCCAGCACGUCCCGCAGUUGGUUGAGUCCCAUCCUUCGAUGGCCUGUGCGCCGCCGAUGAAGGGGAAGUCGGGGAGGUCGCCGAACGUGUGGUACUUCGGCUCAAGCCCGUUGUCUCCGUUGGAGCAGGAGACGAUGUCCAAGGAGUUCGACGGGUUGUCGUAGACGGAGUCCCAGGUCACCUGUACGGUGUUCGCGCGAGUGCGGAGCUCGGCGGGCAGGGCGACGACCACAGAGGCGAGAGUCAGGGCGGAGGCGACGAUCGCGAACAACUGCAUGGCGAGAGUUGUGGAUGCGAUGCGAGGACGAGUGUCUGGG
rnacentral:misc_RNA from 1 species